rnacentral:lncRNA from 1 species
CUCCCAAACCAGCUGUGUGACCUUGAGAAUACUACUAACCUCUCUGGGCCUGUUUCUGCAUCUGCCAGAUGGUCAUAACCCUCCUCAGAUGCUGUGCGUUGGCCGAAUGCGGCAGGCCCAGGGCGCGGCCCCGCAGACUGCAGCCAGGGCACAAGUAUUGUUACACGAGGCUGCGCACAGUAGGUGCUGGGGCGGCCAGCCUGGACACACGUUAGAACUGGCUGGGGAGGGUCUGUAGGGGAGGCCGGACUCAGGGCUCACCCUGGAGAGGAGGACAAAGGGUGCUGAAUCUGGACUGAAUCCGACCUCUAGCCCUGGGCUGGGCCGUGGGAGUGCUGGCCAACGUGCCAGGCAGGGAGGACCUGAAUUCCUGAAGGUGGUGGUGGCAGCUGUUAGGGUCCACAGGUUAAUGAUCUCCAACGUCACACAGAAGAGAAUGUGCUGAGGUGUGACCUCCCUCACCCUGCCUUGGCUGCGUGGGGCACCGUCUCUCCAGGACUCACCCUGCCCCCCAAUAGACUGAAGUCUGAAGAUCAGCCCAGUCUUCCUUCAGGCCUCAAUGCCCUCUCACUUCCCCAGCCCGAGGGACUCCUGGCUCUUCUCGGAGGCUGCUCUGUGGGGUCCCUCCCUUGGGCCUUUGCUAAUGCUGUGCCCUCUGCCUGUGCCAGAGGUGGGCCUGGGCCCGUUUCUCAGGGAGCUCCUGAACACCAAGAAAUUGAAUUGCUU